UGAACUUUUCCACUGCCCAGACGACUGC
rnacentral:sRNA from 1 species